CGGCCUCGCGUCUGACUCAGGCCUGGCCCUCUCGGGAGGGUCCGACAGUGGGGCCCGCCCACCCACUGCCCUGGCUAGCGCAGGCCUUCUUGACCUGGCCUUCGCUGGCACCAGGACAAAGCGAGCUAAGAAAGUAGGCCUGUGACAGCAGAUAGGAAAACUGAGCUAGAGAAAGUGAGUUAAACACGCUGUUUGCACCUGUGCAUGCCACCAGCCAGCAAGAGCCGACCUCAUCCAUUCUGCUGUGGAUCUCUCAGUGACAGUCGCCUCUUGGAACAUUCAAUCCUCAGUGACUUUCAAAGUAUGGCCAGCGGCAGAAUCACCCACACAUCACCUGCUCCACACUGAGCCCCCGACUCAGCAGAGCAGGGUGUGCCCAGCUCCAGGGCUGCAGGUCCCCCGGCCAGCCUGAGACACUGGUCUCCAGAAAAUCUUCUCAAAACCUUGGAGUGGAGGGAUACACAUGGCGGAAUUUGUCUACAUUGUAGCUGGAGCUGCAUGUCUCUACCCAGGUAAGCAGUCCUCCAGAUGUCCAGGCAUGCCUUGUUUUGGAUUUAAAUUAUUCAGUGUGUUGAAAAACUCAAGAACACAUUUGCUUGAAGACCCUAGCAUGCACCAUGGGAGAUCCAAGAACCCU